rnacentral:misc_RNA from 1 species
GCUAAAGGAUUCUCCCGCCCGGAUCGGUCUGCCGCCGAAUUCCUCGAUCAGGCAAACAUAACCGCGCUGGUGACACCAGGCCUCAUAGACCACAGACGGGUCGAGCGUCAUUCCCGCCACCCAGGGACCUUCGCGGCCGGUUUUAGGAUCGCGGAGGUGAUAGGCACGAAUAAACCGUUUGGGUACCAGAUUAGCAUCGCGGCGAUAAUUGAAUUUCUCGUCGGGCGCGAAAUCUUUGACGAACUCACUCGACGGAAUCUUGCCUCUGUAGCUGAGGUAAACUUCACUGAAAGUGUCGCCUUGUUUGUGCUUGAUGUGUCCUG